rnacentral:rRNA from 1 species
AACGAACGCUGGCGGCAGGCUUAACACAUGCAAGUCGAACGAGCUGGGAACUUCGGUUCCCGAUGCUAGUGGCGCACGGGUGAGUAACACGUGGGAACGUACCCUUUAGUACGGAAUAACUCAGGGAAACUUGAGCUAAUACCGUAUGACUCCUUCGGGAGAAAGAUUUAUCGCUAAAGGAGCGGCCCGCGUCUGAUUAGGUAGUUGGUGAGGUAACGGCUCACCAAGCCGACGAUCAGUAGCUGGUCUGAGAGGAUGAUCAGCCACACUGGGACUGAGACACGGCCCAGACUCCUACGGGAGGCAGCAGUGGGGAAUAUUGGACAAUGGGGGCAACCCUGAUCCAGCCAUGCCGCGUGAGUGAAGAAGGCCUCGGUUGUAAGACUCUUCGUACGGGACGGAGUGAUGACGGUACCGGUACUAA